GCAGUCGACGGCAGCACGGACUUCGGUCUGGUGGCGAGUGGCGAACGGGUGAGUAAUAUAUCGGAACGUGCCCAGUCGUGGGGGAUAACGUAGUGAAAAUUACGCUAAUACCGCAUACGAUCUAAGGAUGAAAGCGGGGGAUCGCAAGACCUCGCGCGAUUGGAGCGGCCGAUAUCAGAUUAGGUAGUUGGUGGGGUAAAGGCUCACCAAGCCAACGAUCUGUAGCUGGUCUGAGAGGACGACCAGCCACACUGGAACUGAGACACGGUCCAGACUCCUACGGGAGGCAGCAGUGGGGAAUUUUGGACAAUGGACGCAAGUCUGAUCCAGCCAUUCCGCGUGCAGGACGAAGGCCUUCGGGUUGUAAACUGCUUUUGUACAGAACGAAAAGGUUUCUAUUAAUACUAGGGGCUCAUGACGGUACUGUAAGAAUAAGCACCGGCUAACUACGUGCCAGCAGCCGCGGUAAUACGUAGGGUGCAAGCGUUAAUCGGAAUUACUGGGCGUAAAGCGUGCGCAGGCGGUUAUAUAAGACAGAUGUGAAAUCCCCGGGCUCAACCUGGGAACUGCAUUUGUGACUGUAUAGCUGGAGUGCGGCAGAGGGGGAUGGAAUUCCGCGUGUAGCAGUGAAAUGCGUAGAUAUGCGGAGGAACACCGAUGGCGAAGGCAAUCCCCUGGGCCUGCACUGACGCUCAUGCACGAAAGCGUGGGGAGCAACAGGAUUAGAUACCCUGGUAGUCACGCCCUA
rnacentral:rRNA from 1 species